UGGGGAAUCUUCCGCAAUGGACGAAAGUCUGACGGAGCAACGCCGCGUGAGUGAAGACGGCCUUCGGGUUGUAAAGCUCUGUGAUCCGGGACGAAAGAGCCUGAGGUGAAUAGCCUAAGGAAGUGACGGUACCGGAAAAGCAAGCCACGGCUAACUACGUGCCAGCAGCCGCGGUAAUACGUAGGUGGCAAGCGUUGUCCGGAAUUAUUGGGCGUAAAGCGCGCGCAGGCGGCUUCAUAAGUCCAUCUUAAAAGUGCGGGGCUUAACCCCGUGAUGGGAUGGAAACUGGGAAGCUGGAGUAUCGGAGAGGAAAGUGGAAUUCCUAGUGUAGCGGUGAAAUGCGUAGAGAUUAGGAAGAACACCGGUGGCGAAGGCGACUUUCUGGACGAAAACUGACGCUGAGGCGCGAAAGCGUGGGGAGCAAACAGG
rnacentral:rRNA from 1 species